rnacentral:rRNA from 1 species
CAGCAGCCGCGGGAAUACGAGGGGUGCAAGCGUUACUCGGAAUUACUGGGCGUAAAGCGUGUGUAGGUGGUUGUUUAAGUCUGUCGUGAAAGCCCUGGGCUCAACCUGGGAAUUGCGAUGGAUACUGGGCGACUAGAGUGCGGUAGAGGAUAGUGGAAUUUCCGGUGUAGCGGUGAAAUGCGUAGAGAUCGGGAGGAACAUCAGUGGCGAAGGCGGCCAUCUGGGACAACACUGACGCUGAGGCACGAAAGCGUGGGGAGCAAACAGGAUUAGAUACCCGCGUAGUCCCUGUCUCUUAUAC